rnacentral:rRNA from 1 species
UGAGGGAUAUUGCACAAUGGGCGCAAGCCUGAUGCAGCGACGCCGCGUGGGUGAAGAAGGUUUUCGGAUCGUAAAACCCUUUUCUGUGUGACGAGCAAGGACGGUAGCACAGGAAUAAGUCUCGGCUAACUACGUGCCAGCAGCCGCGGUAAAACGUAGGAGACAAACGUUAUCCGGAGUUACUGGGCGUAAAGGGCGUGCAGGCGGCAGUCUAAGUCUGGCGUGAAAUUUCCCGGCUUAACCGGGGGAGGUCGUCGGAUACUGGGCAGCUCGAGGGCGGUAGAGGCGUGUGGAAUUCCGGGUGUAGUGGUGAAAUGCGUAGAGAUCCGGAGGAACACCAGUGGCGAAGGCGACACGCUGGGCCGCACCUGACGCUAAGACGCGACAGCAUGGGGAGCAAACAGGAUUAGAUACCCAUGUAGUCCCUGAGCGGGCUGGCAAGGCGCAU